GGUCCUGUGGCGCAGUGGUAUAGCGCGUCUGACUUCGAAUCAGAAGGCCGGGGGUUCGAGCCCCUCCAGGAUCG